rnacentral:rRNA from 1 species
UACAGAGGUCUCAAGCGUUGUCCGGAAUCAUUGGGCGUAAAGAGCGUGUAGGCGGCCAGGUAGGUCUGCUGUGAAAACUCGAGGCUCAACCUCGAGACGUCGGCGGAAACCAUCUGGCUAGAGUCCGGAAGAGGAGAGUGGAAUUCCUGGUGUAGCGGUGAAAUGCGCAGAUAUCAGGAAGAACACCCGUGGCGAAGGCGGCUCUCUGGGACGGUACUGACGCUGAGACGCGAAAGCGUGGGGAGCGAACAGG